rnacentral:rRNA from 1 species
UUUCGAAUCAUUCACAAUGGGCGAAAGCCUGAUGGUGCGACGCCGCGUGAGGGAUGAAGGUCUUCGGAUUGUAAACCUCUGUCACCGGGGAAGAAACGCUUCAAGUUAACAGCUUGAAGCCUGACUUAACCCGGAGAGGAAGCAGUGGCUAACUCUGUG